CUCCUCUCAUCCUCAGUUCCUCACUCUUCUCCUAAGCAUCCUCAAAUUUCUCUUUCUCUCUCCUCCAUUGAAGCGCACUCUAAGUUCUCCAUUGAAGCCUACUUUGAGUUUUCACUCCUCUGACGUAUAAUGUUUUUUCUUUUUUCUUUUUUUCAAAAAUUUUAUAUAAUUUUCACCAUCUAUUAGGGUUCUUCUUAGGUGGAUUUCAUUUAAUCAUUUGAAGUUGAAGUACGAGUUAUGACUAAUCCUUUCUUAAUAUUAAACUACCAACUAAAAUAACAAAAACCCCAUUUGUAAUUCAAAUUUUUUUAAAAAUAUGCAGAAUAAUUUAUGGUGGAAUUCGGUUUAAUAGAAGGUCAUGAUUUGGGAAUUGAGCUAUGGGAAGUUUCGUGGUGGAGGUGGUAUUCUUAAUCAAUUAUACUAUGAAUCAAUUUUUAUAUCAGCUUUUUCCAACCUAGUUCCAAUCAGGAAUGGCCCAUUUCCCUGGUUCUCUCUCUCUUUUUUUUCAAUACUUCUACUAAUUUAUGAUUAGUGUAAAUAAUUUAUGGUCUAGGUAUCUGUUGAUUUUGUUGUAUUUUGAUUAUUCAAUUAUUAAUUGCUGGUUUUGAUGUUAUUAAUGUCAUAGUUGGGUGUUUUUGAGUGGAGAUCGGUGUAGCACUGUAGCAUGCUUAAUUAUUGGAAUAUAGUUUUCUAAACUAUGGUUUUGAAUGUUAUAGAAAUUAUUGUUAUUUGGGCUAUCUGAUAUUAUUUGUAAUUAUAUGAUAAGAUUUAUGAUUGAUGCUGCAAAAGUGUGCAUGCGAUUUUAGUUUUUAAUUGUCGUAAUAUUGUUAUUUAGGUGAUUGUUAGUGUAUGUGAUAGUGUAAAAUUUAGUUGUUAUGGGUUUUCUCCAAUUUUGUUGAAGUACAUAAAAGUAGUAGUAUAUGCAAUAUUCAAGUGCAACAAGCAUUCUCAGUUAAUUCAGGAAAUUUGAAUUGAACAGUUGAUUCAAUUCAGAAAUUUUGAACAAAUUAUGCAAAUAUUCAAGGGCAACUUGGAAUUGAAUAUUCAAGUGCAACAAAGUAUACGCACAUUGAAUCUAGAUUUUGUUGGAUUAUAGCUCAAUGUGAAAAAUUUCCACAUAAUGUUUUCUUAUCUUAUAUGUUGAUGCUUAAUUUGGAAGGGAGGUUGAAUAUUGAUAGUUAAUUGAUUCAUGAGCAAGUUAAUGGAUGUAAGAGCAAUGUAUUGCUUAUGCCCCCUCUUUUUGGAUGUAAGAGCAAUUAGAAUGAUUGAUGGUUGAAAUUAAAUUAUGUUUGCUUCACUAUUUAACAAUAUUGGUUGUAAGAGCAAUUAGAAUGAUUGAUGGUUGUUUUUGAUUUUUUUUUUUUUUUUGAUGUGAAAUUGUGUUUUCCUAUUUGAAAGUUAAAACUUUUAUUUUGGGUUUUUAUAAAAUAGAAAAAUAGUAAAGGUUGGAGUUUCAAUCUUUCUGUGGUCUUAAUAGUCUUAAUAUAUGUCACCUUCAUCUCCUCGGUUGCCUCGCCUCACCAUUUCACCUCAUCUCCUCGCAAUAACUCCUUGAUGCUUUAAUAAAUUUUACAGGGUUUUAGCUUUUAUAGAAGUUAACAGAAUUUUGAUUUUUGAUAUUUAUUUUAUUAAAUUUACAAGUUGUUUGCAUAUUUUAAUAUAGAAUCUCAGCCGCGUCGGAACAGCAGCAGCUACCCAGCAAUGAGCACCCCUUGCCAGGUGCCAGUGGGCCAAAUGUCAUCAGAUAAGCUGUGCUAUGGUGAUGGAUCAUCCAGGGCCAAGCUUACCGUUAUUGCAUGUGAUUGUUGGUGAGGAUGAAGCUUCUGAGGAUUCAGUUGUUCAGAAAUUGCGUUGUAACACCUCUUGUCAAAGUUGAGGAUUCAAGGACUCUGUUUGUAGCAUAUGAUAUGGACCUGAGUUUCCUAGCAGGACCAGCUAACCGAGACCCUUGAUCUCUUUUCUCAAUUAUGUCGUGAGAGAAGAUACCCUUAUUCCAGGCUUGAUGGAACGUCGAUCAGCAAACGGCAUAAGCUGGUCAACUGUUUUAAUGAUUUUUCAAAGGAUGAAUUUGCUUUUCUCUGAAGUAGUAAGGCUGGUGGUUGUGGGCUGAACUUGAUCGGAGGAAAUCCAUUGGUCUUGUUUGAUCCUGACUGGAACCCUACCAAUGAUAAACAAGCUGCUGCAAGAGUUUGGAGGGAUGGACAAAAGAAGAGAGUCCAUGUUUACAUAUUUCUGAGCUCUGGAACCAUUGAAGAGAAGGUGUACCAGCGUCAGAUAUCAAAAGAAGAGCUUCAUAAAGUUAUUCAAAAGGAACAAGGUGGUUGUGAUAGGGUAUUUCAUGAAAAGAUGGAUUGUGUUCGAUGUAGAAUUAGUGAUUUAACUAAUACCAUACAAAAAUGGCAUGCUUGAGAACAGAGUGGAGGUCGAUUGUAUUGAAUCAAACUGUGAAGGUUACCAAUCUAGCCAAAAUACUAAUGAUAUUGGUGGGUUUGCAGAAAUUUCUGGAUUGCAUAUUCUAAAAAUUCUCAGAAACAGGUGGGGUCUCUGAAGAGGAUCUACUUAACUGGGCUCAUCAUUUAUCUCCCACUUCAGUUCCUGAUAUUCUAUUUCAAGCUGCAGCUAGUGAUUAGGUCACUUAUGCAUUUACAAACCAAAUAGACGGGAAGCUUGUCCCUGAAGAAUCUAUUAACAUGGUUUGCUGACUUGGAGGUGUAAAAAAUAUCUCUAGUUAAUGGGAAAACAUGUACUGAAGAUGAAAAGCUGUCAAAAGUACAUUGAUGGGAAAACCAUCAAAAAGAAGAUCAUCGUUCUUGGUAAGAUCUUGAAUGUGAUCGUGGUUCCUGAAAAUGCCAAGGUUGGUCAGCGAUGAACCCCUUUUCCUUGGCGUUUGUUGAAAUUUUCUUCUCAGUUGGAGUAGAAGUGCAUCACAUUCCAGAAUUACGAAGCCAGUCUGAAGCUUAACUCACUAUAUCACAAGAAUGCAGUAUGAUCUCAUCAAUUUUUCAUUCGGAGUAGAUUUGUUUAUUGGGAUUGUUGCUACUGAGUAGAUUGUACAUGAUGCGUUCUCUAAGUGCAAAUGGUGCGUUAGAAGCAUAUCUAUGAAAGAGCUUCUUUUCUUCACUCAAAAGUUUUCUCAUUUUCCAGUUUUAACAAAAAACAAAUGCUGAGCUAUCAUAUAUCUUGAUUCAUUUGUGUAUAGUUAUUACUUUUUAUUACGUGUAUAUGUUUUGAAUAAUCUUAAAAUUUCUCGUCUUCGACAUCUUUACACUUGAACCUUUUGCCUUUAAGCAUGUCGAGAUGACAGUUGAAUAUUACGCUGUUGUUUUUGUUAAA